GUUCUCAUUUUAUAGAUGAGGAAGGUGAGACCCAGAGAGGUUAAGUAACUCUCCUGACGCCGACAGCUGUUUUAAAUCCAGGCUCUCUGACACCAGGACAAACACCAUCUGAGCCGUGCUGUGGGCAGGAAGUAUGAGCCAGUCUGGGGAAGAGGAACCCUCUACAUCCAUGUCCACUUUGGUGCUUUGAGGAAGCAGGUCAGCCUUGGCCCAGCCCUGGAAUGAGGAUGGCUUGUCCCUGGUGUUCAGACCCCAUCUCCCUGCAUGCCAGCAUGUCAGCCUUGCAGCAGAAGCAUUAGGAGGAGAAACAGAGACCUGCUAAUAGUGGAUGGGACAGGUGUGCUGCCCCCGUGUCUAAUGGAUGCAGGAGGCUGUUCCUGCCCAAGAGCCAAGGCCCGCGGAGGAGCCAUCAUGCUAAUCUGUGGUCGUGGCACAGUGUGGAAGGUUAUCAGGGCUCAGCGGGAGGCCAACUCUCUGGCAACAGCCCUGACACUGCUUUCAAAAGACGGUCCCCUCCACUCAGUUCUUCCCAUGUUUGCCUGCACCUGUUCACCGACCCUUAGGCCUCCUCACCCCUGACCUUUAAACUGAGGUUCGGGGAGGAAAGGCUAGUGAAGCUCAUCUCUAGAUCUGAGAAGGUACCAUGUAGCCUGUGGAGGGGGCCUCCCUUCCCUUCUGCAGGACCACCCCGACGCACCCCUGGCCUCUUUCAUCCUGAAUAGGCCGACAGUGGUGAAGGAGGGGCAAGAGGGCCACAACUCUGGCCUUCGGAAGUUGGGUCCAGCUGGCAAGGUACAGGCGCUAAACUAACCUAGGUCACCCAGCCUAACCUCCAUAUUGCUAUCUAGCUCCACCUCUCUCUGGAGGACCAAGGCGGCUUCCUGAAAAGACCAGGACUGGGUUCAAAGCUCCCUGCAGGACCCCUUCUCCUCCAAGGGCUACGCCCUGACUCUCAGGAGACCCCCUUCCAGGGCUUAGGCUAAUCAGUUCACCCUACCCCCACCCCUACCUGCUUCUCCCUCUUCAUGGGAAAUAGGCCUCUCUGUCCAUGGGAUCAGAGCCACUUUCCCACAGGGAUCAGUCAUCCUUACCCCUAGACAUUAUACCCCUUCCACAAGGAUCUGCUCACUUUCUCCCUCCUGUCCACGUGUCUUGGUUUGGCGCCUGGUAGCCUGUGCGCUCCUCUGCGCUUCUGACUGGAGCCAGAGGUCAGAAGGACAGAAUUUUGGCUCUAGAAUCUCCCCCCCGCCUGGAGUUCAGGUUUG
rnacentral:lncRNA from 1 species